AGCUGUCGAGCGAAACCCUCGCACCGCACGUCCUCCACCUCCCUUCACCUCCAGUGCCCCCUCCUCCCUCUCCAGCGCCGCCACAGCCGCCUGGGCGAUGCUCCCACCCACCACCCAUGGUUGAGGUCGGCGAAGCGGCCCAUCGCGAGGCGCCUGGGGACGCUGCCUCCCUCCGCCGCCAGCAGCGGCGACCGGCUAGCGUGCGUUCGCCGCCGCCAAAACCGGAUGGCGUGCUGUCCGGCGAGGGGCCCGACCUGUCGUCUUCGUCGCGCGUCCUGGGCCGACGGAGGGGCAGACGCCGAUGCCCACCAGCGGCGGCAUGCUCGAUCUGGAUAUUCAUCCUCGUGCCCAGCCGCCGCUCCUCGGCAUAUUCCUCUCUCCACACCGCCGCUCGCUCCAUCGCGUCACCCGCACUGCCGCUCACCUUCGCCUCGUCAGCGCCUUCUGCUGCUACUGCCGCCGGCGCGUCUCCUAGCUCUUGAACGACCAAACCAUGCAUCGCUACUCCAUGGGAUUCUAAUUUGCCUUUGCAUGCUUGCAGGUUUGAUUGCUGGACCAGCUGCUGGACGUGGAGCACUAGAUCCGGCAGGCGGUGGUGCUCUGGGGCGUCGCCCCCCUCGUCGGCGCCUUCUCGAUCACCGUGUAAACUCACAAUUAUUGUACAGAUUGAUGCUACGGCUGUACUGCAGGUGGGCAGGGGCACCUUCGGUGGCGUAGAUGGGCCUUGCCCGCGCGACAGUUGAUGAGGCUGAGUGCCGUUGGUGGCUGGGGCCUAGGCUGCUACUGCGAGCGACGGGGGACGGAGGAAGAAGGAAAGGGGGUAAUUAGCGUGAGGUUUACAGAGGACUUUUUUUUUGUAAAAAUGCCAAUGAACUAUGCUGGCGACAUUAUUUUUCGGACGGAGGGAGUACUACUUUGGUUGCAAAACUAGGAGACGACUAUUCAUAUUGUGCUGCCCUGCAAGUGAGGUUCCUUGCCCAUUAAGUAAUUUACUCUUUGGCUGCAUGUUUGGGUGUGUAGGGUUCUCACUGUUUGAACAACUUUCAAUAUUCUAAUUCAGCCGCGUGUACAGGUUUAAGAGUCAUCCUUUUAUAUGAAAAGGAAAAACACCUUUUGGUUUAACAAAAAACUUGUAUAUAUUUAGUUAGAGGCCUACUACAUUCUAGGAAGAGCUGGGCUGAUUAUGCACUAUUGUCAUUUAUUUGGUAUAUGUUAGAUUUUCUUACACAUUACCCUUAUUUUAACUAAUGAGCUUAUCAUGGCUGCCUGCCUGGCUGGUAAAGUUUCCAAACAAUAUAUCAAGAUCGUUUUUCUAUUUUUUUGGCCGCAAGACGUUACAGUCCACUUGCUAGAUAUGCACAUUCCUUCUUUAUCAAUCAAGCUUGAUUAUUAUCCAUGUUCUUUGCUUUGGUGGAUUCUUCUAUGCUUGCGUUCUUAGCCUUUCUGUUUUGGUGCAAUCUUCUAUGCUACUACCAAAGCGGCAUGUAAUAGGAUCAACAUGAUUUCUUUGCAUAUCUGCUCGUAAAAGUGGCACUAUGUCUAAGGUCAAUGAAUCAUCCAUCUCAGUUCAAAUAUUCUUAGAUGAUACGUCAAUGAUUUAUGUGGAAGAUGUAAAUUUGUCUUGAAUUGAUGGCUUUCCAGCAAAAAUAGAUGGCAGACAAUAAUGGGCACUAUUUGAGAGCCAUGCAAUCCUGUCGUAUUCUUGGUUAACUCCAGUCUUGGUUGUCAAUGCAUUGUUGUAAUCAUAUUAUCAUAAUCUGAUUGUUAUUUCUAAUACGACUACUCUUUCUAGGCUUAUGCUGAUUGUAGUCCUCUUGUGUUUGCAUUCCGUCUUACUAGAGUUCCAGUAAUAGACACAUUAUGGAAGUGGUGAGGGUCGAUGACUUGAUUUGCAUCAGUGAGAUGAAGAUAGCUGCCAUUGUAAAUGCCACUGUGCCAUAAAGCCAAGGAUUAAAGUUGUCUGCAGUGAACCGUGUCUCUGUGAGAGGAUCAUAACAAGAGGUAACACACCGCCCUUGCAUAAUAAUGUAGUAGUAUAUGGAUCAUAACAAACUGUGGUUGUGAUCAGACCUUGUAAUUUUUACCUUUCCUCCAAGAUCAUCCUCUCCUAAUAUGCCAUGUGUCGACAUGGGCUAAGCUUGCCCAUGUAAGUGUAGCUCCUCUAAUCUUAUUACUAUGUUCUGAUGAUCUAGCUUAUUUGUUGCAUCUUCAUCUUUUCACAUGGGAUUGCCUUGUGCUUAAUUUGGUCUGAUCAUUUGCUUAAAAGAUACAAGACUUGUUUCUUAGUGCUCCUUCCCCGUGUUCUCAUUGCUUUUCAGUUUGUCAAUUUGAAUAGGAUCAGUGACGUUUUGUGAAUCAAAAUUUGCCUAGGAAUCUGCAGUGUUCUCUUCCUAUCGGUACAAGAAAACCCUGCAUUUAGAAAAAAAUAUACCACCUCAUAUUUGAGGUAGGUAAAUUCAAAAUCUGACUUCGUAGCUGAAACAAUGAAAUAGGACUCAGUGAACAACUAGAGGUAACUCAUGUUUCCAUGAAACUACCAACAAAGUGCAAAACAAAUUGCUAUCUUUAGCUACCAAGAAACCUUCUGUAUGUUUUCAGUAUCUACAAAUCUUUCUUCAUUGUCGGCUAGAUAGUUUCAUGCUUAUUUUCUUCUGUAAUUAUCUUUUUAGGUCAAUUCACACAUGAUAUAACUAAUCUGCUGUAUGGCGAAUUAAUUUAGCUCUGUUUCAGGUCAAUUAUUUGUGGCAGACUUUCCCUUUCGGUUAAGUGAUAUACCCAAUAGCUGUAAAGAAAUAAAGUUGCAGUGUCGUGAUAUAUCAUUUUAUUUUUGAUUCUUUUGCCUUGUGGUGUUCAGUACUUGUGGUUAGUUGAUGUUUGUUUUCUGAUUCUAUUGGUUUCUGUUAGUAGGGUUAUCUGACAUGGUUUGCAAUGUUAGUGCUGGUCUCAAGGUUUUAUAGAAGCAUUUGUGUGUUCUCAAGCUUAGGAGUUACAAGGAGAAAUGGUACUAUGGUCUUGAACUUACACUGAUCUGUUGCUAAAGAAUGAUCCUUAGCUUAGUUACUUAGCUUGAUUUCUUUUUUCGAGGAUAGGUUUGGAGUUGUAUCCACUUUUGUCUAGGUUGGUACUUCGACCAGAAUUCUCGCAUGGCAUUAUAUGCCAAGCUCAGUUGUUGUACUUCAUCUGAUGCAUGCUGAAUGCAAACAAUUGUAUUCUUUUUCUUAUAAUAUGUGAACCAUGUACUGCAUCAA